rnacentral:rRNA from 1 species
AUGAACGCUGGCGGCGUGCCUAAUACCUGCAAGUCGCGCGAACAGACGAGGAGCUUGCUCCCCUGACGUUAGCGGCGGACGGGUGAGUAACACGUGGAUAACCUACCUAUAAGACUGGGAUAACUUCGGGAAACCGGAGCUAAUACCGGAUAAUAUAUUGAACCGCAUGGUUCAAUAGUGAAAGACGGUUUUGCUGUCACUUAUAGAUGGAUCCGCGCCGCAUUAGCUAGUUGGUAAGGUAACGGCUUACCAAGGCAACGAUGCGUAGCCGACCUGAGAGGGUGAUCGGCCACACUGGAACUGAGACACGGUCCAGACUCCUACGGGAGGCAGCAGUAGGGAAUCUUCCGCAAUGGGCGAAAGCCUGACGGAGCAACGCCGCGUGAGUGAUGAAGGUCUUCGGAUCGUAAAACUCUGUUAUUAGGGAAGAACAAAUGUGUAAGUAACUAUGUACGUCUUGACGGUACCUAAUCAGAAAGCCACGGCUAACUACGUG